GUCGGCAACGCGCAUGUAACUCCUCUGGAGUUGCAGGCGUACAUAGGCUACGGAGGCUGCUUACCAUCAGGCGGGCCGUAUGCUUGUUUGCCACCGACGUAUUAUUAUUAUUAUUAUUAUUAUUAUUUCUUUAUUUAAGACCAUCGGGGAUCAUUGUGUUAGUAAAUCUUAUCCAAGUGUUAGAACUAUAACUAUCUAUACAUAACUAUACUUAAUAACUACACUGUACAAUUAUUUAUUACUGCGUGCGUGUAUCAAGCAGCAGUUAUUCAAAUACAUGCAAUCCAAUCUUUCUGCUAACAUACUCAGAAUGCUGUUGGAGCUGGCCCUCACUCUGCGCACAAGGGAUGUCGCUCGCUUGCGCAUGGUGGUGUAGAAGCAGUCUACCCGCGCCUCCGCGAACAUCCCCGAUGCACUACAGAAU